GGGUCAGCAGGUCGGUCGUGCCUUACGGGGUAUGAACUGGUGUAGCCAAUUUCUCACCUUCUGGAGAACCGCGAUGUCCUUAAUUGGGUGCCGCGAGGAACCAGGACCUUUACUUUGAAAAAUUAGAGUGUUUAAAGCAGGCAUUUUGCUUGAAUACAUUAGCAUGGAAUAAUAAAAUAGGACGGCAUGAUUCUAUUUUGUUGGUUUCUAGGAUCACCGUAAUGA
rnacentral:rRNA from 1 species